CCAUCAAAACAACCCCAUUAAUAAUAACACACCAAUACAAACCAGGGCAAGUCGUAACAUGGUAAGCGUACUGGAAAGUGCGCUUAGAAA
rnacentral:rRNA from 1 species